CUCCUUCUCUUUCUCUCUCCUUAAUUCCUCCUCCCUCUCCUCUCUACGCAACCCACCACCCCACCUCCUUAUACGCUCAACGGCACACGCCACCGCCGUUUCCGACUAGCAGUCUAAAAUCUCAACCAGACGCCACCGCCGUUUUCAACAAGCUCAGAGAGCUCACUAAUCAAAUAGUUGAGCAGUGUGAAGCUUUAGGAAUAAAAUGUGCAGUAGUAAGCCUUUGUAUCCCUUUUUAGGUGAAGUAAGCAGAAAUGGGUAACAGAUUGUAAUCUCUUUGCCAACAAUUAGUUUUUAAAUUAGCUAAUAUAUGAGGCAGAGUUGAGGUGAUGGAAGUGCAUGCUAAGUGGCUACCACGAGCACCAGCUGGACGGCUGGUGGUCUACUGGCUAUGUUGAAUGGAAGUCACCCCCAGUUGAAACUCCACCUCUCUUCAAUCUCAAUGCCUUUGUUGAUUACUUCUGGCUGGAGAUUUCUACAUCAGUCACUGCCAUGUAAUACUUCCAUUGCCUUCUACUUCCGUUAGUGUUAUUUGUAUAGCAGUAUUUCCUUUUGUUUCGUGCAACUGAAAUGUGUCGACAGUAAUAGAAUGUAAAACUCCUUUUGCUUUCGUGAGGCGAUAUUUCAUGUUGAGAAGAACAUUCAUUAUUUAUGGUAAACCUGAUUUGAAAUAAUGACAGUUUAUAUUA